rnacentral:rRNA from 1 species
CCCCAAAGAAGGAAAAUUUGGGGAACCGGUUUUAAGCUUUUUAUGCCUUUAACAAAAAGAGCCAGAGAACAUUUUGGCUUUGGGAGAGACCUUCCGGUUUCACGUUGUUGGGAAGAAAGGUUCCCCAAGGUUAAGAGCCCUAACUUGUUUGAAGAGAUUUCCGUCCACCUGGAAUUGGACCCGGUCCAGAUUCUUCGGGAGGCACCAGUGGGGAAUUUGCCCAAUGGAGGAAAUUCUGAUGCAGCAACGCCGGGUGGAGGAUGACACAUUUCGGUGCGUAAACUCCUUUUAUAUAAGAAGAUAAUGACGGUAUUAUAUGAAUAAGCACCGGCUAACUCCGUGCCAGCAGCCGCGGUAAUACGGAGGGUGCAAGCGUUACUCGGAAUCACUGGGCGUAAAGCGCAUGCAGGCGGCUUUGUAAGUUGGAAGUGAAAUCCACUGGCUUAACCAGUGAACUGCUUCCAAAACUACUUAGCUAGAGUCUGGGAGGGGAAGAUGGAAUUAGUAGUGUAGGGGUAAAAUCCGUAGAGAUUACUAGGAAUACCAAAAGCGAAGGCGAUCUUCUGGAACAGUACUGACGCUGAGAUGCGAAAGCGUGGGGAGCAAACAGGAUUAGAUACCCUGGUAGUCCACGCAGUAAACGAUGAAUGUUAGUCGUCGGUAUGCAAGUCAUAUCGGUGAUGCAGUUAACACAUUAAACAUUCCGCCUGGGGAGUACGGUCGCAAGAUUAAAACUCAAAGGAAUAGACGGGGACCCGCACAAGUGGUGGAGCAUGUGGUUUAAUUCGAAGAUACGCGAAGAACCUUACCUAGCCUUGACAUUGAAAGAAUACUAUAGAGAUAUGGUAGUGCCCUUUUGGGAGCUUGAAAACAGGUGCUGCACGGCUGUCGUCAGCUCGUGUCGUGAGAUGUUGGGUUAAGUCCCGCAACGAGCGCAACCCUCGUCACUAGUUACUAACGGUUCGGCCGAGGACUCUAGUGAGACUGCCUUCGUAAGGAGGAGGAAGGUGAGGGCGACGUCAAGUCAUCAUGGCCCUUACGGCUAGGGCUACACACGUGCUACAAUGGUUAGGACAAUGAGAAGCGAUACCGCAAGGUGGAGCAAAUCUAUAAACCUAAUCUCAGUUCGGAUAGGACUCUGCAACUCGAGUCCUUGAAGCUGGAAUCACUAGUAAUCGUAGAUCAGCAAUGCUACGGUGAAUACGUUCCCGGGUCUUGUACUCACCGCCCGUCACACCAUGGGAGUUGAUUUCACCCGAAGCGGGGAAGCUAAACUGGCUACCCUCCACGGUGGAAUUAGCGACUGGGGUGAAGUCGUAACAAGGUACC